rnacentral:rRNA from 1 species
UACGAAGGGGGCUAGCGUUGUUCGGAAUCACUGGGCGUAAAGGGCGCGUAGGCGGCUUUGUAAGUCGGGGGUGAAAGCCUGUGGCUCAACCACAGAAUUGCCUUCGAUACUGCAUGGCUUGAGACCGGAAGAGGUAAGUGGAACUGCGAGUGUAGAGGUGAAAUUCGUAGAUAUUCGCAAGAACACCAGUGGCGAAGGCGGCUUACUGGACCGGUUCUGACGCUGAGGCGCGAAAGCGUGGGGAGCAAACGGG